AACGAACGCUGGCGGCAGGCUUAACACAUGCAAGUCGAACGCCCCGCAAGGGGAGUGGCAGACGGGUGAGUAACGCGUGGGAACGUGCCCUUCGCUUCGGAAUAUUCCCGGGAAACUGGGAGCAAUGCCGAAUACGCCGUAUUGGGAAAGAUUUAUCGGCGAAGGAUCGGCCCGCGUUAGAUUAGGUAGUUGGCGGUGUAAUGGACCACCAAGCCUACGAUCUAUAGCUGGUCUGAGAGGAUGAUCAGCCACACUGGGACUGAGACACGGCCCAGACUCCUACGGGAGGCAGCAGUGGGGAAUCUUGGACAAUGGGCGCAAGCCUGAUCCAGCCAUGCCGCGUGAGUGAAGAAGGCCUUAGGGUUGUAAAACUCUUUCGCCGGAGAAGAUAAUGACGGUAUCCGGAGAAGAAGCCCCGGCUAACUUCGUGCCAGCAGCCGCCGCGGUAA
rnacentral:rRNA from 1 species